UGCCGGGUCGUCUAAUGGCAGGACAAUAGCCUCUGGAGCUAUCUAUCUUGGUUCGAGUCCAAGCCCGGCAG
rnacentral:tRNA from 2 species